rnacentral:rRNA from 1 species
AUGGAUGGUGAACCGAAAUACUUGCGCAUUAACCUCAUGUGCGCCUCAACCCGUUCUCUCCGAAUGAACGCAUGGCCAUACACGGAACCGCCGUGCUUCGGCUUCUUCCUCUUGUGCAUCGCCACUAGCAUAGCAAUGUCCUCUUCUUCGUUCAAAUCAAAUUCCUCACCCGACAAGGAAUCUUCCAUGAAAGAGGAGUCACACAAGCUCAUCUACAAUGCGGAAAAUCACCGUCAAACUAACUCUCCAACCCGAACAAAAAAAGUCAAGUUUCACCAUCUUUUUACCUUCGGGAAUUUCGUCGAACACCUUGCUUGCGGGGUGGACGAAAUCGGCCAGCUGCAGGUUGGGCAGUCAUCCGGCGGCGGCGGAUACGGGCGAUGGCGACUGCUCGAUAGAGGAGAUGGCCGCAGGUCGACAGAGAAGAAGGCGGGAGCUCGACGUGGCCGGCGGCCGGCUUUGCACGACCGGGGCUCACAGCCAUCGGGCGGGUGGCGUGCCGCGCCUCCCCUAGCUCGGGCACGGGUAAGGGGAGGGGGGCUGGUGUCCUAG